rnacentral:rRNA from 1 species
AUUGAACGCUGGCGGCAGGCCUAACACAUGCAAGUCGAACGAGGGGAGGAAGGGGGAGUAAGGGCUGGGAAACUGCCUGAUGGAGGGGGAUAACUACUGGAAACGGUAGCUAAUACAGGAGACCAUCAGAUGUGCCCAGAUGGGAGUAGCUUGUUGGUGGGGUAACGGCUCACCAAGGCGCCGAUCCCUAGCUGGUCUGAGAGGAUGACCAGCCACCCUGUGUCUGAGACACGGUCCAGACUCCUACUGUCCUCCGCAGUGGGUCAUAUUGCCCCCUUUUCGCCAGCCUGAUGCAGCCAAGCCGCGUUUCUCC